rnacentral:rRNA from 1 species
GAUAAACGCUAGCGGCAGGCUUAACACAUGCAAGUCGAGGGGCAGCAUAGAUUGUAGCAAUACAAUUGGUGGCGACCGGCGCACGGGUGCGUAACGCGUAUGCAACCUACCCGUCACAGGGGGAUAAUCCGGAGAAAUCUGGUCUAAUACCCCAUAACAUAUGGAUCGGCAUCGGUUCAUGUUGAAAUUUUCGGAGGUGACGGAUGGGCAUGCGUAGCAUUAGCUUGUUGGUGAGGUAACGGCUCACCAAGGCGACGAUGCUUAGGGGGACUGAGAGGUUUUCCCCCCAAACUGGUACGGAGACACGGACCAGACUCCUACGGGAGGCAGCAGUGAGGAAUAUUGGUCAAUGGGCGCAAGCCUGAACCAGCCAUGCCGCGUGCAGGAUGACGGCUCUAUGAGUUGUAAACUGCUUUUGUACGAGGGUAAAGUGGGUUACGUGUAACCUUUUGAAAGUAUCGUACGAAUAAGGAUCGGCUAACUCCGUGCCAGCAGCCGCGGUAA